CAUUGUACUCAGCCUAGGCAACAAGAGCGAAACUCUGUCUCAAAAAAAAAAAAAAAGAAUCUACUUUUUUCAAAGUUGCCUAAUACAUAUUUAGUAUUUGUUGGAGAAUAUACUGUGCUUUAAUUUAUAUCAUUUUUACUCAUUUUCCAGUUCAAGCUAAAGCUAUAUUUUAAUGAGUUUUUUGUUUUUUCUUGACCACCCCCACCUCUUAAUUCUGAUUAUAGGUUAUCCAGUGAAUCUAGCAGCCAAUGGGCAUUAGUGGUACAGUUCUGCAGGCUACACAAUAUGAAACUAAGCAUAUCUUACCUUAGAGAAUGUGCCAAAGCAAAUGAUUGGCUGCAGUUCAUUAUUCACAGCCAGCUCCACAACUACCACCCAGCAGAGGUGAAAUCCCUUAUCCAGUACUUCAGCCCAGUCGUUCAAGACCACUUAAGGCUGGCUUUUGAGAACUUGCCCUCAGUGCCUACCUCCAAAAUGGACAGCGAUCAAGUCUGCAAUAAGUCCCCCCAGGAACUUCAAGGAAGCAAAGAAGAGAUGACCGAUUUAUUUGAAAUUCUGCUCCAAUGCUCAGAGGAGCCAGACUCCUGGCACUGGCUUCUGGUUGAAGCAGUGAAACAACAGGCC
rnacentral:sRNA from 1 species